GAUUUCAGAUAUUGCAAUUUAUACAUAAGAAAGAUAUAAUUCGAUAUCUCUAAGACCAAGAGUAAUAUAUUUGUAGAAUGAAUUAAGUUAGAAGAGCGUACUCGUGACAGUUUCGAUCUAACUCAGAUUGACUACCAAUGUUCGUGUUCAAUUACAAAACGACCCACCAGCGGAUUUAUUUUCACAGGAAUUGUAUAGUGCCGUUAGUAUGUCAACGUCCAAAUAUAAAUGAUCAGUCUCGUUAUAUAGACUAAGCUGACUUGCUCCCAGUUGGCUCUGCUGCAUUAAAAAAAUAAUCUACCAGUUUUAUAUCUGGAGGCAAAUGGCAAGCUGCAGGACUAUCGCAAAAUUCAAGCUUAGAAAAUGGUGCAGACGAAUUGACGGAAAUAGCUGAAGAUGACAAGGAGUCGUAUAUGAAGUUCAGCGAUGCUAGUGAAAUAACAAAUAUUCUUGGCCUAGUCUGGGAUCCCUCAUCUGAUUGGCUGUUAUUCUCGCUUUGUUUGUUAGAAGGUGGUUCCAAGCCGUGCAGGCGAUCUAUCUUGGCCACAAUUGUCGUAUUUCUACAAUAGCUUUGACUUCGUAUGAGAGUUUACCUUUGCAGCAGUAUAGAGGUUGGGUAGAUACAUAUGUGAAGCAGCUUUAACUCUAUUUCCAGACUAUCAUUUCCGAGAGCUGUCCUUACUGCUAGAUGCAGACUAAUCAACCGAAUUUUUGAAUUAACGUGAUGUUCCAGGAAUGUCCCUACAUAACCUACAAUUGAAAAUUGGAGCACCAAUUAUUAGCCUUUGCAAUAUUUAUAUUGUAGGAGAAUUCAAUUUUCACAUAUGUUGUCAAACCGGUGUUUUGUCAGCUCGAAUCACAAUCUAGAAUCAUCUGUAAUCAUCAUCUAUCACAGUUUUAAAUAAGUAAUCAAUUUAUUGUACUGAUGAAAUAAUUCAUGAAGUUCGUGAAUUAUUUGCCUUUUUAUAAUUGCCUAACGCCGACAGAUUUCAUCAUCUGUAUUGCCCAUGAAAUAAAUUUGCACAACAUGGUGGUAAACCUAACCUGGAAUCUAGGUAGACAUUGCACUAUGGGCAAAAAUUCGCAAAGUGCGGCAUUUUUACAUUUUUUUUUG